rnacentral:rRNA from 1 species
GGUGAACGCUGGCGGCGUGCCUAAUACAUGCAAGUCGAGCGAACGGACGAGAAGCUUGCUUCUCUGAUGUUAGCGGCGGACGGGUGAGUAACACGUGGAUAACCUACCUAUAAGACUGGGAUAACUUCGGGAAACCGUAGCUAAUACCGGAUAAUAUUUUGAACCGCAUGGUUCAAAAGUGAAAGACGGUCUUGCUGUCACUUAUAGAUGGAUCCGCGCUGCAUUAGCUAGUUGGUAAGGUAACGGCUUACCAAGGCAACGAUGCAUAGCCGACCUGAGAGGGUGAUCGGCCACACUGGAACUGAGACACGGUCCAGACUCCUACGGGAGGCAGCAGUAGGGAAUCUUCCGCAAUGGGCGAAAGCCUGACGGAGCAACGCCGCGUGAGUGAUGAAGGUCUUCGGAUCGUAAAACUCUGUUAUUAGGGAAGAACAUAUGUGUAAGUAACUGUGCACAUCUUGACGGUACCUAAUCAGAAAGCCACGGCUAACUACGUG